AGGGGGAGGCCAGAUCCUGGGCUGUGUCCCGGCGCCCUGUGCUCCGGAGCCUGCGCUGUUGGAUUCGCGCUCUGGCCGUGCAGCCCCCU
rnacentral:pre_miRNA from 1 species